rnacentral:rRNA from 1 species
UGCGCAGGCGGUUUUGUAAGACCGAUGUGAAAUCCCCGGGCUCAACCUGGGAACUGCAUUGGUGACUGCAAGGCUGGAGUGCGGCAGAGGGGGAUGGAAUUCCGCGUGUAGCAGUGAAAUGCGUAGAUAUGCGGAGGAACACCGAUGGCGAAGGCAAUCCCCUGGGCCUGCACUGACGCUCAUGCACGAAAGCGUGGGGAGCAAACA